UAGGGAAUCUUCGGCAAUGGGGGGAACCCUGACCGAGCAACGCCGCGUGAGUGAAGAAGGUUUUCGGAUCGUAAAGCUCUGUUGUAAGAGAAGAACGGGUGUGAGAGUGGAAAGUUCACACUGUGACGGUAUCUUACCAGAAAGGGACGGCUAACUACGUGCCAGCAGCCGCGGUAAUACGUAGGGCCCGAGCGUUGUCCGGAUUUAUUGGGCGUAAAGCGAGCGCAGGCGGUUAGAUAAGUCUGAAGUUAAAGGCUGUGGCUUAACCAUAGUAUGCUUUGGAAACUGUUUAACUUGAGUGCAGAAGGGGAGAGUGGAAUUCCAUGUGUAGCGGUGAAAUGCGUAGAUAUAUGGAGGAACACCGGUGGCGAAAGCGGCUCUCUGGUCUGUAACUGACGCUGAGGCUCGAAAGCGUGGGGAGCAAACA
rnacentral:rRNA from 1 species